rnacentral:rRNA from 1 species
AGAGCGAACGCUGGCGGCAGGCUUAACACAUGCAAGUCGAGCGGGCGUAGCAAUACGUCAGCGGCAGACGGGUGAGUAACGCGUGGGAACGUACCUUUUGGUUCGGAACAACCCAGGGAAACUUGGGCUAAUACCGGAUAAGCCCUUACGGGGAAAGAUUUAUCGCCGAAAGAUCGGCCCGCGUCUGAUUAGCUAGUUGGUGAGGUAAUGGCUCACCAAGGCGACGAUCAGUAGCUGGUCUGAGAGGAUGAUCAGCCACAUUGGGACUGAGACACGGCCCAAACUCCUACGGGAGGCAGCAGUGGGGAAUAUGCGCAAUGGGCGAAAGCCUGACGCAGCGACGCCGCGUGGGGAUGAAUGCCUUCGGGUUGUAAACCCCUUUCAGCAGGGACGAAGCGAGAGUGACGGUACCUGCAGAAGAAGCGCCGGCUAACUACGUGCCAGCAGCCGC